rnacentral:rRNA from 1 species
UGGGGAAUAUUGGACAAUGGGCGAAAGCCUGAUCCAGCCAUGCCGCGUGUGUGAAGAAGGUCUUCGGAUUGUAAAGCACUUUAAGUUGGGAGGAAGGGCAUUAACCUAAUACGUUAGUGUUUUGACGUUACCGACAGAAUAAGCACUGGCUAACUCUGUGCCAGCAGCCGCGGUAAUACAGAGGGUGCAAGCGUUAAUCGGAAUUACUGGGCGUAAAGCGCGCGUAGGUGGUUUGUUAAGUUGGAUGUGAAAUCCCCGGGCUCAACCUGGGAACUGCAUUCAAAACUGACUGACUAGAGUAUGGUAGAGGGUGGUGGAAUUUCCUGUGUAGCGGUGAAAUGCGUAGAUAUAGGAAGGAACACCAGUGGCGAAGGCGACCACCUGGACUAAUACUGACACUGAGGUGCGAAAGCGUGGGGAGCAAACA